AUGCUCCUGCCCACCCUCCAUCCCUCGCAGAGCCCAGGGGCCGCUCCUGCCCACCCUCCACCUCCCGGCGAGCCCGAGGGCCGCUCCUGCACAUCCUCCGCGCUCCAUCCCGGGGCUGCGGCGGGAGGCGGUCGCUGUGGCAACGCGCGUGCGGCGCAGGGGAGGGGAUGCUCGGCGCGGGGAUGGCUCCCGGCGGACAGGCAGCCCUGCCUGCGGCGGGCCAUGGGCUCCCGUGAAGGAAAACCUGGGCCACGACCUGCCACCUCGGGACCCCGCGGCCACAGCCCCGCUGUCCUGCCAGGUGGGUGCCUCGCUGUGGUGACCCCAUGCACGGUAUUGGGGUGUCCAGGCCCCCCCCCCACCCCGAGGUACCCAAUGCUGGGCAUGCCAUGGGGCUUAUCCCAGAGCUGGCAGGACCGGGGGGGUCCUUUGGGGCGCGGGGGCACCCGCAGACCCCCAGCGGGAGCCCCGGAGGGCGCGGCCUCCGCACACACCCCCAGCGGGUCCCUCCGCGUGCGGGAUGAGCAGGCUAAUCCCACUUUAAUCCCAGAUUACGAGCCACGUGAGGCGCGGCCCAAAGCGGGCUGCGGCGUGGCCAUCGGCCCAGGGGGGCCGGGCACGGACUAGCCCCCCCUCCCCACUGCCGGGAGCUUUGGGGUUCAGGCCACGUAUCCCCCCUCUCUAAACCUGCGGGGCCCGGAGCCUCCCGGCAGGGCUGCGGAGCAGCUGCGCUGGCCCAGAUUCCACGGAUGGGAGGAACCGAGGAGGUGGAAAUGCCUCCUUCAUCGCCACCCGCUCCGCGGUGGGGUGGGCGGGUUGUUGCUACUUCACCCCCCCCCCCCCCCACCUUCCAUCCGGGGAAACUGAGGCACGGAGCGUCCCUGUGCCCGCGGCAGGAUGCGCCCUCCAUCCGAGCCAUGGAAAAACGCCCGGGGCUGGCAGCUGGUGGCUUUUAAGGCCACCGAGGUCCCCGCGCAGGAUGCAGCGGAAGCGAUGGGCUGUCAAUAGCCACGGGGUCGCCCCCGCUGGCGGGAGAUGCCCCGGCGGGGACGGGAAAGGGAGAAUCAGGACAAAGGAGGAACCGGACACCGGCGAGCCACGGGUCGGGGACCCACGUGCUCCCCGUGGCUCGUCCCUGUCGCGAUCAAGUUGCCGGUGGGGCCCCGCGUGUGGCGGUGCCUCGGUUUCCCCGGUGAGCGGGGAGGAUGCUCCGGGCCUCGGCUGCGCUGUAUUUGUUUGGAGGUUGUGGUGGGAGGAGGAGCGGGAGGAGGAGGAGGCCGGGGUUGGGCUGGGCUGGGAAGCACCGGACACCGUUCCCAGGGCUGGCGGGAACCGUCUGUUCAGGGAACUUGUGACCUCGGGUGUCCUCCGCCUUUCGCUGAUGGCUGCGAGCCGCGACAGCCGCGGCACAAUUCGGGUACCCGGGCCCCGCACGGUGGCACGGGCAGGGAAGUGAGGGUGAGGAGGAGGGCGAUGGGAGGAAGGCUGGGGGUCCCCGCCCUCUCCCCCCGGGCGGUGGGGAGGUUCUCACGGCCUGGCCCCUGGCCCGAAGCCGGGCACUGAUGGCUUUGGCGGCUGCGAAAAGUCAAAUCCGGAUUUCCUCGGGGUGGGGAGGAGGGAACCGGCCUCUUCCCGCGGCAGCACAGCCCCGGCCACGGCUCCCCCGGCACGGGGGGGACCGGCACCCCUCCAUCCCGGUGAGCCCCG
rnacentral:lncRNA from 13 species